rnacentral:tRNA from 1 species
GGGGAUUUAGCUCAGCGGCAUAAGCGCCUGCCUUGCAAGCAGGCAGUCCAUCCCCA